UGGAAAGCGAAAAUCCUGCUGCAUGGAAACAUUUGUCGUAAGCGCCUUCCAAAAACCACGUGGAAGAACGAAACUCUCAUAUAUCCAAUCUAGAGGGGGAAAGUGGAAAAAGAAAUGUGUCGAAUACUGCGUAGCUAAACGACCUAAUUACAUUUUUUAGUUGGACUUUUCUAAUAAUUUAUUUAAAUAUUCAUUGCGCCAUGGGCGAUGAAGACGUUUUUGUUAUAUUUUUGAUACAGGAAAAAUAUACCAAUAUGUGAUGCAAAGCAGGCAUUGAAAGCUUCCAUGAGUUGUUUUCUAUACGCGCAUGUCGUAGAACCGUGUCAUUUCCCUCUGAUAAUUGUUAAUUCAAUUUUGAAUUUGCACGUUUUGUCCCGACUGAAAGCCGCACAUCAAUUUAUCGCGUACUCGUGAUGUCACGAGUGUUCCCUUGUUGGUUUUCUUCCGCUUCCGCUGUCUGCGGCGGCGUAUGGCGUAUGGCUUACGCUACUUCAUCACGGCGGCUACGGAGGGUUGUACGGUUGUUCUUUGUGCAUAGUUGUGUCCUUAUUUUCGGUACUCAUCGCGUUUGUGACUGGCGAUGGUGGGACAUAGGUGCUGCUUUAUUCAUUGUAAGAACAAGAGGGAAAACACGACGGGUGUGUCGUUUUUUGGGUUUCCGAAAUCCGAACGCCAAAGACAGUUGUGGUUAACGAGAGUUCAUCGUCCUGGAUGGAGGCUCUACAAGUCAAGCAUACUCUGUUCUGAACACUUCACAGCAGAUUGCUUUCAAGAGGCAGACAGAUUGCAACAAGAGUUUGGAAUAAUUCGUCCUGGAAAGAGACCGCGGCACACACUGAAACCUGAUGCAGUUCCUUCAGUUUUCAUUGAUCCUGAGGAUGUUGUCGAAGCGCCAUUAAGUUCUUCGCACGUUAAAAGCGUAAGCCCCGCAGAGACUACGGAGCUUUCGCCAAGAUGUAGGUUUACAGUUUUCUAUCAAAGCGUGUGUUGUGUGCAGGACCGGGACGAUGAAGUACGGUUCCUUCCUUUUCAAGAGACAACAGAAGCACCUGCUGUACGAAACGCAGCUACCCAAACAGAUGAACGAAAAAGCCACACUGUACCGGGAGUGGGAACACAGACAGAUACGUCUGCACCGAGGGCCCGCGCCGUAUGGCGAUAGUGAAAGUACCGGUGUCACCAGGCUGUCCAUGUCCCGUGCCAUCCCUGCGUUCUCAAAGCUCUCUGCCGCGUAAAUCACCGGAAGAAGACAGCGUACUAUCCAGUCCUGCCAAACACCCAGACCAUCAAGUCGUAUCAUCUCGCCCUCUUCCGCGGCACUGCGUGCCAUCCACAUCAGCAGGACAUGAAGAGGCAGCCGGUACUAUCGACUUUGAUGAGCAGCACAGUUCGCAGAUUGGAAUCGAGGACCCUAUUGCAUACUGGACACAAGGCUGGAAACCCUAUAUACAUGCUUCCAUUUUGUCUUCGUGCAAGGCGUGUGGCACGGCCCUCGUCACCUCCUCAGAUGGACACUUGCCAAAAUGACCUGCGUGACAGGCCACAGGAGAGAGUGAACCAGUCAGCCACUUGUACACGGGAAGCCCACAGGAAAUAUUGCGGUGUGCUCGGCAGUCUUGUUUCCUGGCGGCAGCGUCACCAAAUGGCUGUGCCUGUUCGACGGUAGGGGUGCUGCUUAUUUCCAGCUAUACAAGACGUGAGUUGCGCUGAGAGAUUAUGUGUAAAACAUGACCCACGCGGAGCAUACUGCAUCAUGUAGUAGAGCUAGCACGGUAAACGGGAUGACGAAAACACGCGAUAACCCGCCUGACAUGAACCCGUGUACGGGUCGCAAUCAAAAUUAGCCAUAGCUGUCAGCUGGUCGCUGGCAUAUUGGGCUUCGGACCAAGUUAGGAACACCAGGAAAAUGUAUUUAUCCGCAACGCCUGGCCUUAAAUUUCAUUGCCACAGGAAGCAAUUAGGAAGCAGGAAGGAAGAAUCUUCUUUUACGAGUACUUAACACUCUGCAUGUCAGUUUGUUAGAGUGACUACUUUCUUUGUCUUACCUCCUACUUCUGCUUUAAAAAGAAUAGAGAAAAAAAAAAGAGUCCAUUAUUUUUGCUCUUUCGUGGAGCUGGAGAAGCUUUUUUGAUAGGCCAACCACGAUACGACAUGUGAGAUCCAGAAGGCACAGUAUUUCCAAGUGGAGCAGAAAUUGAAAUUCCUAAGCAUUCCACGCUGUGAUUGGCUACUGCACACAAUUGGCUUCUGGCAUGUGCAUGAAAAUCCAGAUGCUCUUGAUCUGGUGUAAUAUGUCAGCACCAUCUACGAGGAGCGUUCAAGUCAAACCGGGCCUUUUCAUUUUUCGCAAAAGUAAAAUGAACUUAGAGGCGAGAAAUUAGCUUUAUUUUUCAACGUAAUCUCCAGCUGCACUAAUGCACUUGUCCCAGCGUUUCACGAGGGCUUGGAUGCCAGCAGCGUAGAAAUCCUUACCGACGCGUAGCAGCCAUGAUCGGACCGCAUGCUUGACCUCGUCGUCGCAGCUGAAGUGGGAGCCCCCAAGGAACGCCUUCAGUGGACUGAAGAGAGGGAAAUGGCGGGGGGCGAGGUCUUGACUGUAAGGGGGAUGUGGCAGCUACUCCCAGCCAAGUUCUUGUAAGAUGCCUGUCGUGAGAUGCGUGGUAUGCGGGCGUGCAUUGUCCUGUAGGAGGAGGACUCCUUUGGUGAUGAGGCCCGGGUUUCUGAAACCCGAAUCCUCGAAUCCUGGGCACGGAUUAGAGAUUCGCGAAUCUGAAUCCCAGUGCCCGAAACGGCGAAUCAAAUCUUUCGAAUCCACUGACCACGUUCUUCUGUUUCUAAAAUUGGUGUCUCCGGAGUCCACUGAAAGCCUGCGUGACUGGCGGCCCCUGGGGCACGCCAAAACCACAAGAUAAAGGUCCGAUAUUACAAGUUUAAAAGCAACAUGGUUUUGCUUUGAUUCCUUUUUCAUUUUACGGAAGGAAUUCAGACUCGAGAGUUUAUGUAUUUCCUGUAGUCGAUGAACAACACGUUAAAUAAAUUACACUUAGGAAGAACUAUAUGUGUAUGUUUUCUCCUGAAAGUGAGCUAUUAUUCAAUUUGUUUUUCAUUAAACAAAUCAAAUUCUGCUUCAAAACACUUUUCAGUGGAGGAGUUUUUUCAUGGCUUUUAAACUCUUUCUUUGAAGAAAGGAUACGCAAGAUGAUUCGUGGAUUCGCAGAACCUUCCUUGGAUUCGGAUUGGAUUCCGAAAAUUCUGGAUCCGUCCCAUCUCUCGUCUUAAUUGUUAUGUCACGUUGCUCAAGUGUCAGGCUUUGCCUCCAGGUGGUGUUGAGAGUGCCCAGGAAACUGGCUCUUCACAUGAAACCUUGCUCACCAUGUAGUUCAGUACAUUUAUUACAAUGAAAUGUGAAAAUAGCAGCAAACGAAUUUGCCUGACCUGCAUGGGUCAGGCAAAUUGGUUUGCUGCAAUUUUUUGUGUUUCUUUGUACAAGGUGUUUUUUUUUAAAUCCAUUUCCAAUUUUUUUUUUAAACUGGCACAGCAAAAUAGAUGCCGUUUUGGCAGGGUUUUACGGCCAGGCAGACAUCAUGUAGGACAGCGUAUGCAACUGCUGGAUUACUAAUUAGCUAUAAUUAACUUGUUAACUAGAUGUUUUCUGGGAAAUGCUGGAUAGCAGAAUUGGAGCCUCUCAUUAUUCAAAUCCAUUGCCCUUAUUAAACACCCUGAAAAGCGAACAUACUUCGAGAUAUACAUUGCCAAAUUUCGCUAUGCAAAUGAGCCGAAACGAGAACUACACACUACUCGAGCGUAAAAAGAGCGACAGACAAACCACGUGAAAGGGCCACGUGCUUUGGAGCGACAUUAGCUGAUUAGUGUGGGCGCUAAUCUGAGAUCACUCUCCAAGCCAGAUAAGGUGAAGAUUGCGUCGUUUCUGCGCUCCAAAAGCGUUAAGUCGGCUCAUUUGCAUAGCGAAAUUUGACAUUUUAAAUCAUAAAGUAUGUUCGCUUCACAGGCUCCUUCAUAAGGGCGGUGGAUUUGAAUAAUGACUGGCUCCAAUUCUGCUAUCUCACAUUUUGUAGAAAAUAUCAGAUUAAUAAAUUAAUUAAUGAAUUUUAGGUAAUUAGUCAUCCAGUAGUUGCGUACGCUGCCCUACAGGAUGUUCGCCUGGCCGUAUGUAAACCACCCUGCUAAAACACCAUCUAUUUUGCUCUGCUAGUUUUCUUAAUAAAAAUUCUGUAAUGAAUAAAAAAUACCGUGUAUAUUGUAGAACAAUCAUCUGUCCUGAGUACGUGGUAUAGAUCUCUAUGUGGGUUCAUGCAAACAGAAGGCCAAUGGUCGUUCAGACGGGGAAGCUUAAUUCUUGUAGAUGUCAUUUAUAUCUGAACCAUACAUUUGUGGUACGAGGUCAUUACUAAGUAUAUUCUUGUUGGUAGUAUUUUUUUGCACCUGUACGCCAUAUGUAUAUUUGGGUAGCGCUAUAAUUAUCCACUGAAAGUGACAUUCCAAUAUACGUACUACAUUAUGUAGGUCCAGCAAAAGAAAGGCAGCAUUGCAAGUGGAGCUACAGGGCACAUCUUUGCAUCUUGUCGGAGAUGCUCGUUGCAACUCCCCUGUACACACUGCACUUCACAGUACAUGUACAAUCAUGGAGACGACGAUCAGCAGUAUUGUGCACUUUCAAGUAGUUAAGGUAUGCCUGGCUCAUCCAAACGUUAUGGCUAAUAGCACCAAUAUUAGAUUUCCAGACAACCACUAUGUCCUACAGUUAUUGCAUGGAGCAAAAAGGACCUUAACUGUGCCUUGAUUACAUCACGUCCGAGGGAAUGGCAGUAAAUACGCUUGUGAGGGAUUGUCAUUCACACGUCAAGUCUUUUCUGAAGGCCAAGCAUCCACAGGGCACCCCAUAUGACAUUGUUGUGCAGGCACCAAGAAAGAAAGUCCAAGAAGCAUCAGAUGCUGCAACUGUGAUUCAAAACCGUCACCGGUCAUCUGUACUGGUUUGUGAGCACCAGUGACAGCGGGAAACGUCUGCUUGCAAAGCGGGAGGCAGUCGUGAGGCAUAUCUAAAUCUCCUAUUUUUCUGCGGUGGGAAAAUGUACUUUUCCGCAAAGUCGGAUUUACAGAUCCGCGAGAUUCCGAAGGCGAGCGAACACGAGCAAAAAAGGUGGAGCCAAUUCUCCCAAGAGCACAUACAGACUCAUCCCAUGCGCUUUCCCAGCCUUGCAUAAUUUCAUUCAUUGAGCAAACUCAAGCAAGAAAACUAGACUCCACUCCGUCAAUCUCUCUCCGGGUGUCCCUGUCACUAAAUUUCGUUUCACAGCAUCACAUUUUGCCGUGAAAAGCGUGACUGGUCAGGUUUACAUCGAUUGAAAUCCUUCCAAAUAAUUCUGUAAGAUAUCGAAUAUUCCGUAGAAAAUGGACAAUUCUGAGGGAACCGGCCAAUUCCUCAAAAUUUUGCAGAAUCACAGAUUCGCAGAAAGCUAGGGGCUCUAGGGUAUAUCGUCAAUGUCCACAGCCAUUUCAACAGCCUGUACCCAGCCUGUUUCUGUGGUGAUCUAGUUGAAAAGAAAUAACUUCAGGAAGGUGACUCAUUGUUUCAUCUAUUGCAUCAAGUGUAAUAAAGCUAUAUGGUUUUGGUGGUGCUCUGCCUAUUUAACCUUUUACAGUUCUCGUUAAAGUUAUGCGUGUCUUCCCACUGGUUGUUUGCUUCAUUCCUUUCAGCAUAUCAAAUUCACACAGCAUGAAAAAAGUGCGAAGCAAUAAGUAUGGAAGAAACUAUGACACUAUAUGUAUUUCAAUGAGAGAUGAAUAAAGGUACUUCCUCUU